rnacentral:rRNA from 1 species
UGGCCUACGGGGCGCAGCAGUGGGGAAUAUUGCACAAUGGGGGAAACCCUGAUGCAGCGACGCCGCGUGAGCGAAGAAGUAUUUCGGUAUGUAAAGCUCUAUCAGCAGGGAAGAAAAAAAUGACGGUACCUGAGUAAGAAGCACCGGCUAAAUACGUGCCAGCAGCCGCGGUAAUACGUAGGUGGCAAGCGUUGUCCGGAUUUACUGGGUGUAAAGGGCGUGCAGCCGGGCUGACAAGUCAGAUGUGAAAUCCCGCGGCUCAACCGCGGAACUGCAUUUGAAACUGUCAGUCUUGAGUACCGUAG